rnacentral:rRNA from 1 species
CAAGACCUUGUGCUGAAGGAGCGGCCGAUGUCUGAUUAGCUUGUUGGUGAGGUAAAGGCUUACCAAGGCAACGAUCAGUAGUUGGUCUGAGAGGACGGCCAACCACACUGGGACUGAGACACGGCCCAGACUCCUACGGGAGGCAGCAGUGGGGAAUUUUGGACAAUGGGCGAAAGCCUGAUCCAGCCAUGCCGCGUGAGUGAAGAAGGCCUUCGGGUUGUAAAGCUCUUUCAGUCGGAAAGAAAAGAUCAUGACUAAUACUCAUGAUUCAUGACGGUACCGACAGAAGAAGCACCGGCUAACUACGUGCCAGCAGCCGCGGUAAUACGUAGGGUGCGAGCGUUAAUCGGAAUUACUGGGCGUAAAGGGUGCGCAGGCGGUCUUGCAAGUCGGAUGUGAAAGCCCCGGGCUUAACCUGGGAAUU